rnacentral:lncRNA from 1 species
AUUUCCUGAGGCACCUUGUUCAAAUGCAGAUGAGGACUCAGCAGUUCUGGGUGGGCCCGAGAUUCUGCAUUUCUAAGAAGCUCCAGGGUGAUGCAUAUGCUGCUCAAGUAGCAACAAACCAGAGGCUUUCAUAUGGCAGCAUUUUACCUAGAGCUGACCCUGGUGUCAGAAGAAAGUUCUUCCUAGGGGAUUGCCUGAGUCUAAAAGAAGACAUCAAGCAUUAAGCUUAUACUACAAAGACCAGCCGUACAUUCCAAGUCGAAAAGGAACAGACUCUCUUAAGAGUGAUCUUCACAUCUUCUUGCCUGCUCCCUGCUGUCACUGACAGUAGAGAAGAGGAACAUUUAUCUAUGUGGAAGCAAAUGUUUCCGUAAUAAAGAAAUCUAAAGUAUAAGCACUUGGUUAAAAAUAGACUAACCGACAUUGAUUCCUUGAAAAAAAUUAUUCAGCAAUGUAUGUAACAGUUAGCUGACGGCUACAGCAUCAAACCCAGGAUAGGAAGACGAGAGAAUGGACAGCAUGGUACCAACCUCAUCCACCCCUUUUAUGAAGAGAACAAAUGUCUUUCCAGAAGCCCCAGCUUAUGUUGUAUAUGUCAGAAAAAUGUCAUAUGACUCUACUUGACUAUGGCUGAAAAGGGCAGAGGAAGGCACAGAAGGUCCACUGUUUAAGCAGACACCUAUCAGGGAAUGAGAUGCCCAUUUCACCUUCUAGCAAACAUCAGUCGCUGCAAGUAAGUCCCUUGCAGACCUCUCCCUCGGCUUAUUGGGAGGUGUGGACCCUCCUCCUGGAAGUGCAUGUGCCCUGGUACUCUGACUCAAGCCUUUAGCGUUCUCUCAGAUUCUCUGUACGGUCUCUUACAGAGGCUUGGAGAAGACAGGCAGUAAUGGUCACAGUAUCAGAUUUGUUACUUUUAAUGAGAACUCCAAGGAUGUUUUUAAGAUCGUUGUUCUCUUGCGAAUGAGGAGGUACUUAGUAUGUGUUAUUCUCGGUUUGGAGAUUUUGCGUCAGUUAUAAGACAAUGAAAGAGUCCCAUUUAACAUUUUGUUACUUUAGGAUCAACAGAUAG